rnacentral:rRNA from 1 species
GAUGAACGCUGGCGGCGUGCCUAAUACAUGCAAGUCGAGCGAACGGACGAGAAGCUUGCUUCUCUGAUGUUAGCGGCGGACGGGUGAGUAACACGUGGAUAACCUACCUAUAAGACUGGGAUAACUUCGGGAAACCGUAGCUAAUACCGGAUAAUAUUUUGAACCGCAUGGUUCAAAAGUGAAAGACGGUCUUGCUGUCACUUAUAGAUGGAUCCGCGCUGCAUUAGCUAGUUGGUAAGGUAACGGCUUACCAAGGCAACGAUGCAUAGCCGACCUGAGAGGGUGAUCGGCCACACGGGAACUGAGACACGGUCCAGACUCCUACGGGAGGCAGCAGUAGGGAAUCUUACGCAAUGGGCGAAAGCCUGACGGAGCAACGCCGCGUGAGUGAUGAAGGUCCUCGGAUCGUAAAACUCUGUUAUUAGGGGAGAACAUAUGUGUAAGUAACUGUGCACAUCUUGACGGUACCUAAUCAGAAAGCCACGACUAACUACGUG